UACGUAGGGUGCGAGCGUUGUCCGGAUUUACUGGGUGUAAAGGGUGCGCAGGCGGACUGGUAAGUCAGAGGUGAAAUCUCGUCGCUCAACGACGAAACUGCCUUUGAUACUAUCAGUCUUGAAUCCGGUAGAGAUCUGUGGAAUUCCGAGUGUAGCAGUGAAAUGUGUAGAUAUUCGGAAGAACACCAGUGGCGAAGGCAGCAGAUUGGGCCGGUAUUGACGCUCAGGCACGAAAGCAUGGGGAUCAAACAGG
rnacentral:rRNA from 1 species